rnacentral:rRNA from 1 species
ACUUUCAACAACGGAUCUCUUGGCUCUCGUAUCGAUGAAGAACGCAGCGAAAUGCGAUAAGUAAUGUGAAUUGCAGAAUUCAGUGAAUCAUCGAAUCUUUGAACGCACAUUGCGCCUCUUGGUAUUCCUUGAGGCAUGCCUGUUCGAGCGUCAC